AAAAUGGCUGGGUUAUUUUUUAACCCAAAAUGCUGGGUUGAGUCUGUUGGGUUGUUUUGCUGGGUUAAUUUUUAACAUUUUAAACACUUUUUGGGUAGUUUCAGUUUUCUGGUUGUUGGGUUAAAACUGCUGGGUUAUUAUACUGGGUUGUUUGAAGAGGCUCACGUGCUUCGCGCCUUUGAUGUUUGAAUGUGCUCAGCAACGGUCGUCGUGAAAGGACAGAGUCACUGGAAGCAGUUGUUUCAAGAGAGUGCAGAGUUUUUAUGUCCAUCCAUUAAUAAGGCUAGCAAGACCUUCAUACAACUUCAGCCAAUUGCAACAAAUGUGGUGGAAGUUCUUCUCUGGACAGAAUCCUCGAAAUCCUUUCCUUUAUUUCCUGGCCAUGGGAAACAUGCAAUCAGUCUCUCUGAUGGAGCCAAUACGGAAGUGACUUAAACUGCAAUUCAGCCAAGAUGGCGACGGCACGCACCGCCUACUUUAGGCUUCAAAAAUGCUCUUCACAAUCAAUGGGUGACAUCACGGACACUACUUUCAUAUUUUUUUUCAGUCUAUGGUUUAAAGGCAUUUUACGUGCUUGAAAAUAAAUACCCCAGGCAAUGUGCAUCUACUGUAGUCUGUCAUUUUCCAAAUGGAUGAAUCCUCUGCUGUUCGGUUCCUUUGUACA